rnacentral:rRNA from 1 species
AAACCGCGAAUGGCUCAUUAUAUCAGUUAUGGUUCCUUAGAUCGCACUUACUACUUGGAUAACUGUGGUAAUUCUAGAGCUAAUACAUGCGUUGAGCUCCAACCCUCGUGGACGGAGCGCUUUUAUUAGAUCAAAGCCAAUCGGACUCUCGGGUUCGUAUUGUUGGUGACUCUGAAUAACUUUGCUGAUCGCACGGUCUCGUACCGGCGACGUAUCUUUCAAGUGUCUGCCUUAUCAACUGUCGAUGGUAGGUUAUGCGCCUACCAUGGUUGUAACGGGUAACGGGGAAUCAGGGUUCGAUUCCGGAGAGGGAGCCUGAGAAACGGCUACCACAUCCAAGGAAGGCAGCAGGCGCGCAAAUUACCCACUCCCGGCACGGGGAGGUAGUGACGAAAAAUAACGAUACGGAACUCAUACGAGGCUCCGUAAUCGGAAUGAGUACACUUUAAAUCCUUUAACGAGGAUCUAUUGGAGGGCAAGUCUGGUGCCAGCAGCCGCGGUAAUUCCAGCUCCAAUAGCGUAUAUUAAAGUUGUUGUGGUUAAAAAGCUCGUAGUUGGAUCUCGGUUUCAGGCGGGCGGUCCACCUUGCGGUGUUUACUGUCUGCUUGGACGAUUUUCUCGGUUCGUUCAUGGUUCUCUUAACCGAGUGCCUUGGGUGGCCGACACGUUUACUUUGAAAAAAUUGGAGUGCUCAAAGCAGGCGCUACAGCCUGAACAUUAGUGCAUGGAAUAAUAAAAUAGGAUCUCGGUUCUAUUUCGUUGGCUUUCGGAGUCGAGGUAAUGAUUAAUAGGGACAGACGGGGGCAUUCGUACUGCGACGUUAGAGGUGAAAUUCUUGGAUCGUCGCAAGACGAACUACUGCGAAAGCAUUUGCCAAGAAUGUUUUCAUUAAUCAAGAACGAAAGUUAGAGGUUCGAAGGCGAUCAGAUACCGCCCUAGUUCUAACCAUAAACGAUGUCGACCGGCGAUCCGUCGUCGUUAAUUUAAUGACUCGACGGGCAGCCUCCGGGAAACCAGAGGGUUUGGAUUCCAGGGGGAG